rnacentral:lncRNA from 1 species
AGAGUGAACUUUUAUUUCCAACAACGACAGCACCUUCCCCGUGGGGGGGGGACGGUGGGGAGGGCUGGGACGGGGCGCCGGGGGGCAGCCGCUCGCGUGCACACGGUGCACGACGUGAAGAAACAUCCUGGUACAAAAGAAAUGAAGAUCCGACGGCCUCGAUGGCCGGUCCUGCCCUGGGGGGUGCAGGCGUGAGCGGUGGGGUGAGCAUGGGCGGGGGGGUGCACGUGUCCCCUCCGCACCCGUAUUUGGAGGGUGGCAGGGAGGAGAAACCAUGUAAAGGACGAGCGGGAGGCGGCCACGGCUGGGGGUGGAGCACAGUGUGUCCCAUGGGAAUGGCUCCAGCCACGCAAGGGGCCCCCGGCUGCCGCCGAGGAUGGAGCAAACGCAGCAUCUCGGCUGGUCCAAGGCGCUGGUGACGGGCGCGGGGCUCACACCUCGGUCUGGAAGUCACCAUCAGCCACAUCCAGGCCGGCGCAGGGGCCCUCCCAGUCUGCACAUCUCAGCUCCAGCCGGUCCCACUGGGCACUGGGCAGGGAGCCCAGCGUCAUCGCCUUGAACGUGCUCCAUGGCUUUGGCGGCGCAGCCGGCGCCUGGAGCUGCUGCUCCUUGGGGUUGGCCGCAUCCUGCAGGCAAAGAUGGAGCUGCGGCAAGCAGCCAGGACCUCACCUUGGAGGAGCCGGCAGCCGGGGCUCGGUACCGGUCCAGUGUGUGAAACUUCUGGUUGAGCUCGUGGUAGAGCUCGGAGUGGCGCUUCCGUGUGUGCAUCACCUUCUCCCCCCGCUCACCUCCAGGGACCCCACUUUCAUGGCAGAGCCGGGCACGGUGCGGGGCAUGGUGCGGCUGCGCUCCGACAGCUCCGAGGCCAGGAUCUGCCGCACAGUGGGAUGCUGUUUGAACUGGAGGCUGUAGGGAGCCUUCACUGUGCCGUAGGGCUGGCUCAAGUUCACGUUGACAUGAUCCACUGCGACGAAGCCGGGGUAGGCAUCACCCUCGGCUGCCGGGCGCCCCGUCCCGCCAGGCACCCCUUCGUCGGUGCUCUCAUCCCGUGGGAAAGGCUUGAGGCUGCCAGUGCGACGUGGCAGCAUCAUGUAGUCACUCUCGCGGGGGGGUUCAGGGGCCCGCAGCCACCCAUACUCCAGUGGCCGCAGGCUGCUCUCCGUGCACAGGUACACGGGGCCCGGUGCCUCCAGACCAAGCUGCUGCGCCGGGGGGUCCCCCAGCUCGCCCAAGCCCGCCACCACGUUUGGUGUCAUCUUGGGGACCUGGACCAGGAUGCUGGAGGGAGGGAUGUUCCCUGGCAGGCUGGAGAAGCCCAGGCCACCCUCCGAGGUGGUGUUGAGCUUGGGGUCUUCAUCCCCAUCCAGGGAGAUGCGGGAUAAGGUGCCCGUGAUGGUGGCAGGAUUGCAGGUAUUCACCUCCUUGAAAAGC